rnacentral:rRNA from 1 species
CCUUGCCAGCCCGCUCAGAAACUUAAAGGAAUUGACGGGGGCCCGCACAAGCGGUGGAGCAUGUGGUUUAAUUCGAUGAUACGCGAGGAACCUUACCUGGGCUCAAAUGUAUGUUGACGUAUUCUGAAAGGGAUACUUCUUCGGACAAUAUACAAGGUGCUGCAUGGUUGUCGUCAGCUCGUGCCGUGAGGUGUCGGGUUAAGUCCCAUAACGAGCGCAACCCCUAUCAUUAGUUGCCAUCAGGUCAAGCUGGGGACUCUAAUGAAACUGCCUACGCAAGUAGUGAGGAAGGUGGGGAUGACGUCAAAUCAGCACGGCCCUUACGUCCAGGGCUACACACGUGCUACAAUGGCCGGUACAAAGGGCAGCUACCUGGUGACAGGAUGCUAAUCUCAAAAGCCGGUCUCAGUUCGGAUCGGAGUCUGCAACCCGACUCCGUGAAGCUGGAUUCGCUAGUAAUCGCGCAUCAGCCACGGCGCGGUGAAUACGUUCCCGGGCCUU